rnacentral:rRNA from 1 species
UACGUAGGGUGCAAGCGUUGUCCGGAAUUAUUGGGCGUAAAGAGCCCGUAGGCGGUUUGUCGCGUCUGCUGUGAAAACUCGGGGCUUAACUCCGAAACUGCAUUCGAUACUACCGUGCUUGAGGACUGGAGAGGAGACUGGAAUUUACGGUGUAGCGGUGAAAUGCGUAGAUAUCGUAAGGAAGACCAGUGGCGAAGGCGGGUCUCUGGACAGUUCCUGACGCUGAGGCACGAGGGCCAGGGGAGCAAACGGG